UACGUAGGGUGCAAGCGUUGUCCGGAAUUAUUGGGCGUAAAGAGCUCGUAGGCGGUGUGUCACGUCGGCCGUGAAAACCUGCAGCUUAACUGUGGGCGUGCGGUCGAUACGGGCAUCACUGGAGUUCGGCAGGGGAGACUGGAAUUCCUGGUGUAGCGGUGAAAUGCGCAGAUAUCAGGAGGAACACCGGUGGCGAAGGCGGGUCUCUGGGCCGAUACUGACGCUGAGGAGCGAAAGCGUGGGGAGCAAACAGG
rnacentral:rRNA from 1 species